GGGGGAGGAGCCAAGAUGGCCGAAUAGGAACAGCUCCGGUCUACAGCUCCCAGCGUGAGCGACGCAGAAGACGGGUGAUUUCUGCAUUUCCAUCUGAGCAUGCAGCAAUAUGGUGGGGAUGCAUACUACAGCUGAGCUCUGGACAGGAGGUUUUCCAUUUUAUAAGAAACUCAAACCACCAAGAAAACCAGCUUAUCCCACAAAAUAUUUUUACACUUCUCUAGAACUCAGUAAGAGGCCCUCAACGGAUUGGAUGAUGCCUGUCCACGGUCCACAUCGGUGAGGGUGAUUGUCUUUACUCAGCCUAUUGAUUCAAACACUAAUCUCUUCUGGAAACACUCUCAGACUCACCCAGAAGUAAUGUUUUGCCAGCCAUCGGAGCAUCCUCUGGCUUAGGCAAGUUAACACAUAGAAUUAAUCAUCACAGAAGGCAACAGAAAAACCUUUAAAGAAUCAAUAGAAAAUAUGUGCAUCAGAAAAUAUUGCUGGCUUACCCAAAAGCUAUUUCCCUUUUGUUCCUUACUAACAACCCUUACUUUGUUUAUAUUUGAGGAAGUAAUGUACUCAAGGAAGUUUUGUCUCUAACCCAGCAUUCAAGGAUGCCAAGACAAUCACGUUAAUCCCAUUUCCUCUACCAGUGAUUGGUGUGGAGGUGGGCAUAUCACUGACUUCUAACCAAAA
rnacentral:lncRNA from 1 species